rnacentral:rRNA from 1 species
AAAGGGGCUUCGGCCCUGAGUAGAGUGGCGAACGGGUGAGUGACACGUGGGUGACCUACCUUCGAAUGGGGGAUAACGUUCCGAAAGGGACGCUAAUACCACAUAACAUCCUGCCUUUGAACAGGUGGAGAUCAAAGCCGGGGAUCGCAAGACCUGGCGUUUGAAGAGGGGCCCGCGUCCGAUUAGCUAGUUGGUGAGGUAAUGGCUCACCAAGGCAACGAUCGGUAGCCGGCCUGAGAGGGCGGACGGCCACACUGGGACUGAGACACGGCCCAGACUCCUACGGGAGGCAGCAGUGGGGAAUUGUUCGCAAUGGGCGCAAGCCUGACGACGCAACGCCGCGUGGAGGAUGAAGGUCUUCGGAUUGUAAACUCCUGUUGCCCGGGACGAAUGGCUCUGACCUAACACGUCAGAGUGUGACGGUACCGGGUGAGGAAGCCCCGGCUAACUCUGUGCCAGCAGCCGCGGUAAUACAGAGGGGGCAAGCGUUGUUCGGAAUUACUGGGCGUAAAGGGCGCGUAGGCGGCCUGCUAAGUCGAACGUGAAAUCCCCGGGCUCAACCCGGGAACUGCGUUCGAUACUGGUUGGCUUGAAUCCGGGAGAGGGAUGCGGAAUUCCAGGUGUAGCGGUGAAAUGCGUAGAUAUCUGGAGGAACACCGGUGGCGAAGGCGGCAUCCUGGACCGGCAUUGACGCUGAGGCGCGAAAGCCAGGGGAGCAAACGGGAUUAGAUACCCCGGUAGUCCUGGCCCUAAACGAUGAAUGCUUGGUGUGGCGGGUAUCGAUCCCUGCUGUGCCGAAGCUAACGCAUUAAGCAUUCU